rnacentral:rRNA from 1 species
CAGUCGUACCUUCGGGUAAUCAGCCUUUCGGGUGCGAUUCUGUGGAGUUUGAGGAGCUUAACACCUUCAUGCUUUUGCAUAUUCGUGCUCUUGGGUGUACUUGCCCGUGUGGUUGGUUAACAUCAAUUUCGGUGGUCAUAAAAUGACUGGAGGAAUGUAGCUUCGAUCUCGUAUUGAAGUGUUAUAGCCUUCGGUAGAUGUGAUGACUGAGAUUGAGGAUUGCAACGGAUACCCUUCGGGGCUACUCGUCUGAUCUCUGAAGGUUGCUCCGGUGCCGAAGCGUGCUUACGGUCAUCGAAAGUGAUUUUCAAAAGGUUAGAACGGUUAAUUCGUUAAGGAUGUUGACG